UUUCCUUAUCAAUUGAUUCGAUUUUGAUUCGUUCGAUUCUUUUUAUGAACAAAAAUUUGAUUUCAGAUCUGGAUUUUAUAGGAGGUUAGAUGUAACUAAGUACGGAGGUUGGGUGCUCCACUCUGUCUACCUUCAGAAGGCAACUUUAUUUAUUUCCCACAUAUAUGGGUUCAAUUUCGGAUUUUGAUUUGGCUUUGAAUAGAUUCUAAACCCAUGAGCUCCUAUGGCUUUCUGACUCUCAAGUAUUCUCAUGGCUUUGUUUUCAGGCUUCCAAUGAGAAGAAUAUGCUUGGAGGAUCUUUAUAAAUAACAAAGCAGCUGAAGAUAAGGCAGAGGAUAAAUAAACAUGAUUUUUGCAUAUGAAAACUCUAGCUGGAGAACAAGAGGAUGAUGGAUAGCUCUCCUAAAGAAAUAGAGGACAAGCCUUCUAAGGGCAAGAGAAUAAAAGGCUUUGAGGUUAAGAAAAGUGCUGAGCAAGGGCAGAUGAGAGGAGUUUUCAGGUUUGUGACCGUUGUUCAAGUUGAAAGGACAAGUCUCCUAACAUGAGUUGUGAUACAUGGGACCGAUACAUGUUUUCUACAACUGUAUUUACUUGAUUGAGAUGGCAAGGCAAGCUGGGUCAACUGAGACUGCAAGUUGUCUCAAUUUCUUCAAACUCUCAAGCGAGUAAUUGGUGUUUGAGUCUGAAAUUGGGUGAUAUAAGAAGAUUAUAAGCCAAAGAGCGUACCAUUUCUGCCAUGGAUAUGAACCCCAAUUGACGUCAAUGCCUUGGAAAAAAACCCCUCUCUAUUCUGCCUUGACUUGACCCCAGAUCUGUUUCUUUCAAGACAUGAUUCCCCAGUCUAACAACACAGCCAAAGUUAAAGCAAUAACACUAAGGAUGAAGGCACUGCAAAUGAAAAUAGGCGAAAAAACAGUGUCGAAACCAGCUGUUGAAGAGACUAAUGCACCACAUAAAUCCGCCUUCACCAAACAUGAUCAAUAAUAUGAGAUAUCAAUGUUUUUUGGGUUCCAUUUGUUGAUCAUGCCAACUACUAUAGGUUAUUGAACUGAUGUUUACUAAGUUUAGCUCCAUUAUGGAUGUAUGUAUAGCUGCAGUAACAGAUUAAUCAAAUAUUGUUUUUAUGAAUGGAUUCCAUAUUUGAUGAAUGCAUUGGGUAGUUUCCAGAUUUA